rnacentral:rRNA from 1 species
UCGAGCGAGAAAGGGGGGCAACCCCUGAGUAAAGCGGCGGACGGGUGCGUAACACGUGGAUAAUCUGCCUUGGAGCGGGGAACAACAAUCCGAAAGGAUUGCUAAUGCCGCAUGUCGAGACGAGAACUCCGGUUCCUGUGCCAAAAGAGGGCGCCCGCAAGGGGCUCUUGCUCCAAGAUGAGUCCGCGUCCCAUCAGCUAGUUGGCGGGGUAAUGGCCCACCAAGGCUUUGACGGGUAGCUGGUCUGAGAGGAUGACCAGCCACACUGGGACUGAGACACGGCCCAGACUCCUACGGGAGGCAGCAGUGGGGAAUAUUGGGCAAUGGGCGCAAGCCUGACCCAGCCAUGCCGCGUGAGUGAUGAAGGCCUUCGGGUCGUAAAGCUCUGUGGGAAGGGACGAAAAAAACGGGCCUAAUACGCUCGGGCUUGACGGUACCUUCUUAGCAAGCACCGGCUAACUCCGUGCCAGCAGCCGCG